AUCCCAAAAUAAAUGACGCUCACAGGGGUGGAUCCCAAAAUAAAUGACGUUCACAGGGGUGGAUCCCAAAAUAAAUGACGUUCACAGGGGUGGAUCC